UCACAUCCAGAAUGGAUGAUCAUCGCAACAGGGCAGCACACGCAACAUGGCACAACACAAGCAAGCAAACAAUUGCAAGGGUGAGCUAAUUAUAUAAAUUCAUGCAUCAGAUUAAGCAUGUAACAUACAAGAAAUAACUUAUAUCCAACAGUUUCAGAAACACAACCUAAGCAUUUUAAUUUCUAGACUUGACUCGUCCGGACUUUAAAACGAAAGUCGAGCUAUGGUGGGUCUUGCACUUGUGGUGACUUAUGAAACUUGGGUUCCCCACCCUGCC
rnacentral:lncRNA from 1 species